CUUAAUUUUACCUCUAAGCCCAUUCCUGGAGAGUUGCUGAGAAAUUCAGCCUUGGUCGGGCUCGGGUCUCCCUUCUCCUACCCUCCAGGGUUUUGUCAGGGCUCUGGGUCUCACCCAGAACCUUCACUUCCUUCAAUGACCACAAAGGAAGGAAGGGCCUUGCCACAAGCUCCUCACCCCAUUAGGGAAGAUCAGGGCCCAUAGCUGCUUUACGGAGGGAAAAUCAGGAGAAAAAUUCAAGGAGGGAGCAUAAAUUCUAUUCAAAAAUAUGUCUUGUUUUUCAUAAAAUCAAGACUAAAGGAAAAUAUAAUUAAACUCUACGUAGCAGAAGUAUAACAUUUUUAGUCUCUUCUUCAAACUUCUCUGCGUUAUUGUUUUUCUACAUGACUAUAAUUCAAGCUACAGACAGGAAAAAAAUUAAGGACUUGUUAAUAGAGUAUACACAUGUGGACAAGACAUAGAGAUGCAAAAUAAAUGCAAAAAGAAGAUGAAAAAUUGGACCACUCAGCAGAACUGAAUAACAACUUUUUAGAUAGCGGGCACAGGUCAAUUGCAUUCACUGAGAGGCUGGCCAGAUUGCUCGAAAAAGUUGUCUAGUGUCUUCUCAGUGCACUGGAAUUUAUUCAUUCAAUCUAUUUCCUACUAGAGUGUUUGGGCUUUUAAAGAAAAAGAAGAGGGCUUACAUGGUAAUUGAAAGAGAAAGAAACCUGCCAACUCAUGCAUGUCUCUCCCUUUAAAAAUAAUGCACAAUUAUAGGCCAUUCCAAUAAAAUUGAGGCUGUUGUUACAACGGACUCAGCAUGAUUUACUGCGAUAACUGGCUACCUAGAACAAAAAUUCCCACUACCCAUUCCAAGUUGCUGAGUUCUUGGGCUUUCGCAAGACACACCAAUGGCUGGCAUCUAAGGCAUGAAGUGAACCUAAGGUCUGAGCAGGACGUGGGGUGGAUUUUUCCUGUUUCCUCCUGCUUGUUCCAGAGGCAAAGAGUCCAGGAGCAUCUCACUAGGAUUUGAGAGGGUAACUGUGAUACCUCAUACUUUUCUUUUCAUGUCUAGUCUUAGAAUUUGACCACUUCAAGAGGAGAUCGGCCAUUAGCAGACUUGCGUGAAGGAAACGGAUCAAUGUGUGCGAUCUCAUGCGCCUGCAUCAUUUAGACGCCACGGACGAGGGCUGCAAUGGAUGCUUUGGCGUGCUGCCAGAUCCCCUCCAGGACUGAGAUCCUCUUUCCCCAGCUGUGGGGAGUGCUGAUGGCG
rnacentral:lncRNA from 1 species